rnacentral:misc_RNA from 1 species
GGAAGGAUCAUUAACAAAUCAUCGCAGCAACCCUAUCCACUGUUGCCAUUUUCUUAAUUGAAAAGGUAAUCGAGGGAGAGGGUUGCAUGCAUAUAUACCCGGUGUCGGCAUGUGAUGACGUCUAGUCGUCCUUGCAGACCUGAGGCUUGUCGCACACUUAGGCCAAUUUGGCUGACGUUGCGACGACAUUAACGAUUGUCUGUUUGACUGUUUAUUAUGACAAAUAAAAAUAUACAACUUUUAACAAUGGAUCUCUUGGCUCUUGCAACGAUGAAGAACGCAGUGAAAUGCGAAAAGUAAUGCGAUUUGCAUGAAUCUGUGAGUCAUCAAAUUUUUGAACGCAACUUGCACUCUUUGGGUAACCAAAGAGUAUACCUGUUUGAGAAUCAUAAACAUGUCUUGACUCUAGUUAGGGUCAGAUUUGAGGUUUGUAUAGUAUUUACAUCCCUUUAAAUGCUUAAGGUUGGGCUAGGCUUCUCUUCAGCCUAGACAUUGUGUGCUAGAGACAUAUAUUGUCUACUCACAAUGCGUCUAGGCUGAAAACCUAGUCACUUAUGACAGCCUUCCUAUAUACAAAUCAAUAGCAUUGAUUUUUUUAUAUUGAUCUCAAAUCAGGUAAGAUUACCCGCUGAACUUAAGCAUAUCAGUAAGCGGAGGAAAAGAAACUAACAAGGAUUCCCCUAGUAACGGCGAGUGAAGCGGGAAGAGCUCAAAUUUUAAAUCUGAGAGGUUCCCUCUCCGAAUUGUAGUUUAAAGAGGCGUUUUCUGAUUCUUCCUGGUCGUCCAAGUCCCUUGGAAUAGGGCGUCAAAGAGGGUGAGAACCCCGUCUGGGCGGCUAGGCAGAAUCUUUAUGAUACGCUUUCAAAGAGUCGUGUUGUUUGGGAAUGCAGCACAAAAUGGGUGGUAAAUUUCACCUAAGGCUAAAUACAGGCAAGAGACCGAUAGCGAACAAGUACCGUGAGGGAAAGAUGAAAAGCACCUUGAAAAGGGAGUUAAAUAGAGCGUGAAAUUGUUAAAAGGGAAACGAUUGAGGCCAGUAUUGCUGCAGCAGUUCAGCGGCUACUACGGUGAGGGCCAAUGUCUAGAGCGCAAGCCUAGGCCUGGUACCAUAUCCGCGAUUACCGUGCACUCUGUUGUAGCAAGUCAGCGCCAGUUUGAUCUUCUGGACAAAGGUCAGAGGAAGGUGACGUCGCUUCGGUAGCGUUUUAUAGACUCUGGCUGGCACAGUUGAUUGGACUGGAAGUAUCCUUGGGUUCACCGGUUCCUGAACCGCUGCCUGUACUAUUUUGACAGCUUGCUGACACGAUAGGAAGGGUAGCGCGUAAGUAAUCGCUCCUAAGUAAUGCUGACGAAAUGGUCUUAAACGACCCGUCUUGAAACACGGACCAAGGAGUCUAACAUAUAUGCGAGUAUUUGAGUGGCAAACUCGAAUGCGUAAUGAAAGUGAGUAGCAUGGGAACCAUCUUCCUACCCGGAACGGUGCACCAUGGACCGACCUUGAUAUCUUUUGAUAGGUUCGAGUAAGAGCAUAUCUGUUGGGACCCGAAAGGUGGUGAACUAUGCCUGGAUAGGAUGAAGCCAGAGGAAACUCUGGUGGAGGUCCGUAGCCGUUCUGACGUGCAAAUCGAUGGUCAAAUCUGGGUAUAGGGGCGAAAGACUAAUCGAACCACCUAGUAGCUGGUUCCCUC